GAGCAGACAUCCAUAUUCGCCCUGCAGGAAAUGGUUCCUUCCUGCUUGGAGCUGCAGAUGUUCAGCAGCAGACAGGAAACCGGGACCGGCUGUGGAGGUCACUAUGCUGCUGAGAAAAAUAAUAAAGUUAGCUUUUCGAUUUAAAAACAAGAGAAAGAAAGGGAAGAGUGUCAGUUUUUAACUCAGUUUUUCUCAGAGAGGUUUCCAUGGUGCAGAGGAGACGGCAGAUGGUCAGAAAGGAUUCCAUGUGAAGGACUCACCUCAGUUCACCUGUCAGACCAUCUCAUACUGGUUGGUGCUGAUGAGGUGGGCCAAGCAGCAGGCCAGAGACGUCCCGACCACCUGGGACAGAAUCGGGUCACACUGGGUCCAAACAUCAGUUACGUGUCAAGGUCAGGGGGUGUAAUCUGAAGAGACCUCCCACCAGUUUGAGCAUCCAGGGCCGACCCCUGCAGGUGGC